UACGUAGGGUGCGAGCGUUAAUCGGAAUUACUGGGCGUAAAGCGUGCGCAGGCGGUUUUGUAAGUCAGAUGUGAAAUCCCCGGGCUUAACCUGGGAAUGGCAUUUGGGACUGCAAGGCUUGAGUGCGGCAGAGGAGACUGGAAUUCCUGGUGUAGCAGUGAAAUGCGUAGAUAUCAGGAGGAACACCAAUUGCGAAGGCAGCUCGCUGGGACGUUACUGACGCUGAGACGCGAAAGCGUGGGGAGCAAACAGG
rnacentral:rRNA from 1 species